ensembl:lncRNA
UACUGAUAUACCACUUAAAAUAAUUUAUUAAAGUAAAUGGAUCAUUGCACAAAAAUCCACUACAUUUUCAUAUACCACCAGCAGUCAAUUAGAAAGUAUCAAUUUUUAAAAGUAUCAUGCAAUGACAAAAGUAUCAACUGAAAAAUAAAGUAACUAGGAAUAAAUGUAAAGUGAAAAAAAGAAAGUGAAGGUGCUCAGUCGUGUCCAACUCUUUGGGACCCUGUGGACUGUAGCCUGCCAGGCUCCUCUGUCCAUGGGAUUCUCCAGGCAAGAAUACUGGAGUGGGUUGCCAUUCCCUUCUCCAGGGGAUCUUCCCAACCCAGGGAUCGAACCCGGGUCUCCUGCAUUGCAGGCAGACACUUUAUCCUCUGAGCCACCAGGGAAGCCCCGGAAUAAAUGUAACCAAUAUAAAAAUCCUACAUGCAGAAAAUCAUAAAUUCUUAUUGGAAGAUUUUAAAGGGGGCCUAAAUAACUAGAGUGAUAUACUGUUUAUAGAUGGGGAGAUUCAAAUCACAAAGAUGUCUCUUCUCCCCAACCUGAAUUAUAGAUUCCAUGUAGUUCUGAACAAAACUCUUAACAGGUAUAAUCAAUAAAUUUGACAUAUUAAUUAAAAAAUUUAUGAAGCAAUGGCCAAGAAUAGCCACAAAACUUCUUCCUAAAUAAGUAAACUACUACAGGCAAUUGCCCUCACAAAUAAUAUGCCUUCUUAUGAUGCUAUAGCAAUGAAGACAAGGCAAGAACCCAAAAUAGAAAGUCCAAAAUAAGCCCAUGUAUUUAUAGAGACUUACUGAGUAUCAGAGGUGGCACUGCAGCUCAGUGGGAACAAGAUAAGCCUUUCAACAGCAGUAAGCUAGUAGUAAUAACCAGUAAUAACCAGCUAGGAUAACUGGUAACCCAUAUGGGAGAGAAGUCAUAUCCCUGCCUUACACCAUAGACAGAACAUCCAUUUCUUAUUAAAGACUGAGCUGUGAAAGGCAAACUCUUAUAAAAUUAAGGAGUAAAAAAGGAAGCUAUCUUUAUACUCUCAGGUUAGGGGAUACAUUCUUAAAAUUAAGGACUUCUGUUCUCAAAUGACCAUGAAAAAU